CCAAGCUGUCUCCUGCUCUGUUUCACAGUGUGUGACAUUGGUAAUGAGCUAUGACAGCAUUCCUCCUGCCGCUAACUGUGUCACGUGAGCCAUCGGAAGGUGACUUGAGAUGUGGAGAAAUGAAGAAGCUGAGUCUCAGGAAGAAGAAAAAUUUGUCUUUUCUUCACUGUCAUGUGCCAAUGCAUAGAACGAUAUCUGGAAAAUAAUAGUACUAGGACAUGCCAAACCAUGGAAUUCCAUUCAGUGAAUUUUUCAAGAAAGGAGGUUCUUUUAUAGAGUGAAUUUAACCUUUGUGUCUAUCCAUGUGGAUUUGGAGGAUAUCCUCUACCUAGUGAGUAGCAGGCCUUUUAGUUUGCAUGCUAUUUAAUAUGUUCACUAUAAUUGUUUUAGCUACCUUUUCUUCUCCGAGAGGAAAAAAGUCACAAGAAUCUUAAUGCUGUGUCCUUUACUGUCCUCUUCCUGGAAGAUAUCAUGAUGUCAUGUUGAUCAGUUUGCUAUGAAUUCCUUGUUUGCUCUUAGUGGUCAUUUUUGCUGACCCUCCUUAUUGGCUUCCCCAGAGGAGCACUCCCAAAUCUCUGCCUCUCUGCCUUAUUCUCACUCUGUCCUAGUCUCUCAGCAGAUGACUUGUAAAAGUCCUGGAAAAUGUUGGGGGACUAGAGAUCAAGGGAUGUUGGGCUAAUUCCAGCAAGACAUUUAUGUUUACAACAACUUACAAGAAGCAAAAGCAUUACAUUCAGUCAUAUACCCCUUGGGAUACAUCUGUCUUUUGAAUGUGACAUGAGAUAAUUAAUGUGUAAAUAAUAAUUAGAGUGCUUGGCACAGAGAAAGCAGUUAAUAACUGUUGGUUUCUAUCUAUCUUUCUUUAAUAACCUUUUGACCAGUAAAGACAUUCAGAAAAUAUUAUGUAACUCAUUUUCAGCAAUUAUGAUCUAAUGAGUUACGAUGACCUGAUGUCCUUGCUUCCUUUGGUGGCUCAGGUAGUAUAGCCAAAAUAUGAGUGUGAGAUGGCGCUAAACCAAAGACAAUACCUGCUGUCAAGCCACUUGGAUGCAAUCAUCUUUUUCAGCUGUGCUCCAACUUGGAUUAACUUUUUAUAAUAUAGGCCACAUGAUCUCAUCUUGCUGAAGCUCCCUAGCAACUAGCUAAUGUUUGCAGCUUCUGCAAGCUAUUGUCUCAGUUUUGCUGCUGCUGUGGUUGCCACUUGCUUAUCUGGACUGAUUGGUGAUCAACACAGUCCCCAGCUCUCUCCUGAAUUCCACUAAAUAAUCAUGAUAGCCGGCCAGGCACAGUGGCUCACACCUGUAAUCCCAGCACUUUGGGAGGCUGAAGGGGGCAGAUCACAAGGUCAGGAGUUUGAUACCAGCCUGGCCAACAUAGUGAAACCCCAUCUCUACUAAAAAUACAAAAAAAUAGCUGGGUGUCAUGGUGCAUGCCUGUAGUCUCAGCUAUUUGGGUGACUGAAGCAGGAGAAUCACUUGAACCUGGGAUGCAGAGCUUGCAGGAAGCUGAGAUCACACCACUGCACUCCAGCCCAGCUGACAGAGCAAGACUCCAUCUCAAAAAAAAAACGAAACAAAACAUGAUAACCUCCCUACUUGGUGUAAUGUUAAUGUGUGUCCAAUUGUGCAUACUGGGACCAUUUUCAGUGAGAAAUUUAUAGUGGCACUGACUCAGCAAAGACUGAUUUUUGUGAUAAAAUGAACUAAUAUUUAUUUAGUGCUUUGCAGGUUAAAAUAACCUCUCAUCUAUUGUCUCAUUUUAUCCUUAUGUUAGCCCAGUGAAGUAGAUCCAGCGAAUGUUUUUGUCUGUUUUUUUAAUUCAUAAGAUUAAAGAAUAUUGUUUGAGAAUAUUCUUACACUUUAGUUUUUUCCCUCAGGUGAAAUGUCCAGCUUUUAAGUGAAUUGGUAUGGGGUAUGGUGGCUAGUUCCAAAUGAAAUGGCUAAGCUUCACCACUUAGAACACUCAACUUUCAGGUAAUACUUUGGAGGUGUAACUGCAUGUAUUUGGGAUGUUGUAAUGGUGUGAGUGUUUUAUGAAUUGAUGCUUUGUGCUUUGAAUAAGUUUCUUCCGACAAGCUGUCGUGUUGCCCCCCACUUGGAAUGAUGCAGUUUCUUCACGACUAAGUCACAUUAAACGUGCACAGGAAUUUUUAUUUUAUUUUAUUUUAGCAAUAUCAACUGUGAUGUUGUUAUAAUCUUAAAGCAGGAGUGGCAGUUUGUGAACAACAACUUUGGCAAAGGGUCUUGUGAAAAAUUGAGAAUCAUUUAUUUAUUAUUGUUCUUUUAAAUCCUCUUAAGUCUCUUCCAAAAAGAGUGGGUGCCCAGUAAAUAUUUGUUGAAUAAGUGAGUGAAUGAAUUAUAGAAGGCAGAAUUAUAGAUUGAUGGAUACACCACAGUUGAAAUGGACAACUGUGCAUCCUGUGCAUUGACUAAACUGGACCACUGAACAAUUCUUGAAUGUUUCCAGCACCUUCUUGCCCCAUGAUUUUGGUCACUCCAUUUCUUUCAUCUCUAAUGUCUUUUCCAUUUCUACAUAUCAAAAUUCUACCCAUCCAUUGGACUAGAUCAAAUGCCAUUUACUCUCCAUUUUCCUCCUGAAGGCUUUGUGGCUUUUUCCAUUGCCAGAGCUGGAAAUGACUAUAUCUCAAAAAGUUCCCAUUGCUCAUGUCUUUUUUGGUAUUUAGUAUAUGUUCCUUGAAAGCACAUACAUUAUUAUUUCCUGGUAAACCAUCUACAUUGUAUCUUUCUCUUUAGAAUUAACUUC